GUCUCCUGCAAUUGCAAGCAGAACAAAUCUUCCUGUGUGCCUCUCCCAAGGUACAACAGAUGCCUCAGGGGAGGCUGUGUUUGCUCAGCGCUAUGGAGCUGCUUUACCUCUGCACUAUGCAGGCAUAGUGCGCACACAUGCACACACAUGCUCACACACACGGAUCCUGGUGGGACUGUCCAACAGCCUCUUUGCAUCCUUGUACAUGGCAGGACGAGGUGGCAGCUGGGAGCAGUUGGCAAGUGCAUCCCAGGCAGGCUGUCUCAGGCAGUACCUUACCUUGGAAAUCUGUGUCCCAGCCCUGGAGACCCCCGGCAGCGCUCCUGUUCCCAGGUGCUCUGCAGGCUAACUGGAAGGGAAAUGCUAUCUGCACCGAGGUCUCUACCCUGGAUUUCAGGUCCCGCCCGGUGGGUCAUCCUCCUUCCUCUGCUGUUUAGCAAUUGUGAACAACUCCCCCAGAUCAGGAUGGAGGCGAUGGAGGAGGGAGCUGAGACAGCAGCCAGGUGAUGAUAGAAAGGCUUCUGGGUCGUGCAGCCCCUGGAAAGCAAUGACCCCCGCUCUGGGGUGAGUCACGGACGCCGGAGGAGAAGAACUGCUUGGAAGAACAGCUGGUUCUGCCCAGAGUUGCCGCCUUGCCAGAUGUUGUUUCCUGAACAAGAGGCCUCUCCUUCUCCAAGAAGUUGUGUGGACAGCGGGGCUGUUUGGGCAGGCCCUGAGGAGAGUUGACUGCUGUUUUUGAGGAUGAAAUUCAGGAUCCCUGCUGUGUGUAUCAUCUGUGAUUUAAUUCCA